AAAACGACAUUUACUCUUCUUUUACGUUUCUCCCACGUCGAGUUCAGAUAGAAGUUUGCAGCAGAAUAAGCAGUGUAGCGAAGCAAUGGAGUUCGUCCCUUCGGGGACAUCCGAUAAACUUGGAACGAUACAGAGAAGAUUAGCAUGGCCCCUGUCAUCAACGAUGACACGCACAAAUCGAGAAAUGGUCCAAUUUUGCCCAUCGUCGGCGCUGAUGCUCCGGUCGCUUCUGUACUUUUUUGGCCGUUCGGACGGCGGUGACGUUCAGAUGAGAUUUUUCGAACUUCGAUAUAAUCACAGGAUUUUUUACUAGCAGGAGUUGGUAAUGUCGAUUCGAGGAGGAAAACUGACAAUCUUAUUGUCGAUUCAAAAAUGAUGACGAAGCAGAUCCAAGAUGCUUUCAAAGAAUUUAUCACAAGGGAGGAUAUUGGGAAAUAGUGUUAAUCAGCCAAUACGUGAGUUUCUAUUCUAUUUUUCCCUCUUGUUUUAUUGCAGCAUCCAUAGCAUAGCUGCUAGUUGUAACUUCGUUAUGUAAAAUGUCGAAUAAUUAGUAUGUUAGUGCUUAUUGGAGGUAUGACGGCGUAGCUUUGAACAUGUGAAGUACCUCAUCGCAGGAAAAAGUUCAACUGUCCUAGACCCUAGGUAGCUUGACAUGGAAACCUGAUUGAGAAGUGGAAAAUAAUUUUUAGUGGGAAUAUGUUAUAGGAAGUCAAGCUUCAUUAAAGAUCUUUCAUGUGACGGUUCUACCACAGUAUACUUGUAUUUGUAAAGUCAACCUUGAAUGGUGUGCGGCCCUCUAAGGGAAUACCUAGAGCAACGGUAAAGUUGUCUCAAUGUGACCUAGAGGUCAUGGGUUCAAGCUGUGGAAGCAAUCACUAAGCGUAGUACAUUACAGGAGGUUGUCGACAUCACACGCCUUCCCCUUGGGGUGCCCCCUUCUUCUGACCUUGAAUGGCGUCUAAAUAGCAAAAUUGAGUCAUUGCCAUAUAAUGCCAACUUCUAUGAAUGCAAAAGAGGAGGCGUUUGUCUACUAUGAGUCUGUCCUUCGCAAUUCGACAAUAAUGAGGACAUUAGUUACUGUUAACACCAAACUACUUGAGAGAAAGUAGAAACACUAAUGAUUUGCUUUAAGAUAGACUAUCAAUAGGCCCAAAUUUGUGAGACUCAGGCCAUAUACCUUUAGCAGGAUGGUUCUUUGGACAAUGCCGAAUCAAGGAAGUAUCGAGAUUAAUACCGAUGGGAGCUACAUAGGUUAUAAUGUUAAGGUAGGGAUUGGAGGUAUAGCCAGAGAUUGCAAUGGGGAUUUUGUUUUCGCUUUUGCUAUUCCUGUACAUUGCCAAAAUCAUUGGGGGAUAGCCAGAACAUGUUCCCUAUCGGUGGUUUGAUUUCAUUGACAAUUGGUCAAUAUACUAUUAAUUCAUAAGAAACACUUGGUUCAACCAAAAACAUCGAUUAUGAUGAAAUCAUGUCUCCAAUUUUACAUCCAUGUACUCUGUUUCGAGAUUUUCUUAAUCGUUACAUGUCACAAAAUGUUAACAGUUCUUGCGCCAAUGAUGAACAUUUAGCGUAGAAGUUACUGCUUAUAGGUAGUGAGCCACGUCAUCGACAUAGAUGUCGUGUAGCUGCUUCACAAGAAUAUGUUGAGCCUUAUCCUGUUCCUGAGAGCGUAUGGAAAACACCAUCAGAUUUUUUCUGUUGUAUAGACUGCGUAUACUUGUAAAACGUCUGAUUGUUUGAUCAAUAAUGCAGUCCUUGAUGAUUGUAAGGAUUAUUUUGAUCUUAACAACACUCGUUGGACAGUGAAAGAGGGUACUGGUGUUGACUUGUUUAUGCAUGAAGUGAUAGCAGUAACGAAGGAUGGAACGAUUAGAAUUGGGCUGAAUACUGGAGGUGGUGUGACUACAUUUGCUGUAAGAAUGAAAGGAAGGAACAUAACGAUUCUAUCGACUUAUUGAUACCAACGACACAUUUAGAAGUAGGCGAUCCCCUUAUGAUAUAUCUUCCAGAAGACGACAACAUGAUCAUCCCAUCGUUAGGGGAUUACAAACCAUAAUUACCCUUCGUGAUUUAGUGGAAAGGGCCUUAAGGCAGCAGCAUGUACAAGACUAUUUCUAUGACGGAUCAUCACCAAAUUCUUCAGAUGAUUCUCAACCAGAAAGUGAACUGUUUGAUGAUCAAGAGGCUUAUACGGAGGAGAAAGUGGACGAUGCUAUAUAUUAUUGGGGUAUUUUAAAACAAAUAUUCAUCGUGUUGCUGAAGGAGUAAAUAAUCCGACAGAAACUAAAAAGAUUUGUGCCAUAUGUCAAGCAGAAUUUGAGCAUGAAGAGUCCAUUGGGACACUUGGGUGCGGACAUGAAUAUCAUACGAACUGCAUCAAACAAUGGUUGCUGAGGAAGAAAGACUGUCCCGUGUGUCGAGCUUCUGUUUUGACCUUAAAACAUAGCAUAUAGAGAUUAUUUUAUUAUGAAAUUCCGUUGUAUUAAACUUAGUAAGACAGUUAGUUAUUCUAAAGUAUUGGAUGUGACGCACUAUAUAUUUUUGAUAACUUCAAGAACAAUUUGUUUCCUAUCCUAAAUAUUGUUAAGAGACGAACAAAUUAUCAUAUCA